AAAUUCAGGUGGUUGUAAGAGGAAUGUACUCGAUUAGGCCAAGGAGCCCAAUUACCCGGUUCGGGUCCGGGUUCACCAUCUUCCUACGGUUCAUCUCCAUAGACUACGUGCGCCUUGGUUCAAAUGAGAACGGCGAAGAACUUCACGGUGCCGAACGGAAAAUUAUCCGGCGAUAUCUAUGAAUAAAAAAUGAACUCACCUCAAUCUCCGAUAUCCUCUGCUGCUCGUAGUCGGUGAAGACAAAGCUCAGUACAUGUCGCGCUUGAGAUGAAAAUGGAUGAGACACACUCGCGGUGAGAGCAUUGACGUAGCGUCGUCUUCCUACUGAUGAAGGCCUCUGAUCCGUGUUUAUGUUGAAGGAUCGAGAUGAAGAAUGAAGAAUGGAAUCUUUGGCGUCGAACUGUCGUGUUUAGUUGGAACAGGUGACUCUGUAGCGGUGGUCGAGUUGCGACGGAGAUGACGAGAGGUAAUCAAAUGGACCCGGGUAUGGAGGAGCGUCCCAGUUGAUCUAAUCAAAGACUCUUCGAAAUGCUGAACCGAAAUACACUCAGACUUUCAUGCUCCAUUUUGAAGCAAACUAAAGCGUACUACAGGACCCCAAAGCCUCUCUGUUUGAAUUCUCACCAACGCGUACACCUAGAUUCCGAGCAUUGUAUCUUGCACUCAGUCUUUCAUAAAGAUCACAAUCUAGAACAUAAGUUACAACCUCUGCAGGAAGUGACUUUUUGGUUCUGCACGCCACCAAGUAGGAAUUGUUCCUCUUAUGCCGCACAUAUACGUGUAAAGGACCAUUUGUGUUUGUUUUGGUGACUUGCAGGUUACUACUGAAUGUUAACUUGCCAUGAUCGUCGUAGUAGGGCUGAUCAAGAAGCAAGUUCUGUGGUUUCAAAUCAUAGUGAAGAACACUGUGACUAUAAUAAUGAGCAACUUCUUUACAAAGCUGAAAAGGAAAACUCCAAACAAGCGAACUUGGCAAUGGCCUAUGGUUCGCUCCUUCAAGAAAAGUGUCAAUGGAUUUCUUCAGAUUGGUGUCGAUAUACUCAGAGACGGGAAAGAGGGCAGGCUUAGAGGUGCAAACGGCCAUGAAUUGUGUUGGUGAAUUUAUGGAGGUGAAGGAUACGCUCUUCAAUACGCUGCUCUCUAGUUGCUUG